UUCGCGUUAGGGAUUGAAGCGAAAAUACUUUUUUGCUUUUCGCAAAAAAGAUUGUAGCGGAAAGCCCGACCUGAA
rnacentral:sRNA from 1 species